rnacentral:rRNA from 1 species
AUUGAACGCUGGCGGCAGGCCUAACACAUGCAAGUCGAGCGGAUGAAGGGAGCUUGCUCCUGGAUUCAGCGGCGGACGGGUGAGUCAUGCCUAGGAAUCUGCCUGGUAGUGGGGGAUAACGUCCGGAAACGGGCGCUAAUACCGCAUACGUCCUGAGGGAGCAAGUGGGGGAUCUUCGGAUCUCACGCUAUCAGAUGAGCCUAGGUCGGAUUAGCUAGUUGGUGGGGUAAAGGCCUACCAAGGCGACGAUCCGUAACUGGUCCGAGAGGGUGAUCAGACACCCGGGAACUGAGAAACGGCCCAGACUCCUACGGGAGGCAGCAGUGGGGAAUAUUGGACGAGGGGGGAAAGCGUGAUCCAGCCAUGCCGCGUGUGGGCAGAUGGUCUUCGGAUGGUAAAGCGCUGUAAGUUGGGAGGAAGGACAGUAAUUUAAUACCGGGCUGCUUUGACGUUACCAACAGAAUAAGCACCGGCUAACUUCGUG